AGAGUUUGAUCAUGGCUCAGGACGAACGCUGGCGGCGUGCCUAAUACAUGCAAGUUGAGCGCUGAAGGUUGGUACUUGUACCAACUGGAUGAGCAGCGAACGGGUGAGUAACGCGUGGGGAAUCUGCCUUUGAGCGGGGGACAACAUUUGGAAACGAAUGCUAAUACCGCAUAAAAACUUUAAACACAAGUUUUAAGUUUGAAAGAUGCAAUUGCAUCACUCAAAGAUGAUCCCGCGUUGUAUUAGCUAGUUGGUGAGGUAAAGGCUCACCAAGGCGAUGAUACAUAGCCGACCUGAGAGGGUGAUCGGCCACAUUGGGACUGAGACACGGCCCAAACUCCUACGGGAGGCAGCAGUAGGGAAUCUUCGGCAAUGGACGAAAGUCUGACCGAGCAACGCCGCGUGAGUGAAGAAGGUUUUCGGAUCGUAAAACUCUGCUGGUAGAGAAGAACGUUGGUGAGAGUGGAAAGCUCAUCAAGUGACGGUAACUACCCAGAAAGGGACGGCUAACUACGUGCCAGCAGCCGCGGUAAUACGUAGGUCCCGAGCGUUGUCCGGAUUUAUUGGGCGUAAAGCGAGCGCAGGUGGUUUAUUAAGUCUGGUGUAAAAGGCAGUGGCUCAACCAUUGUAUGCAUUGGAAACUGGUAGACUUGAGUGCAGGAGAGGAGAGUGGAAUUCCAUGUGUAGCGGUGAAAUGCGUAGAUAUAUGGAGGAACACCGGUGGCGAAAGCGGCUCUCUGGCCUGUAACUGACACUGAGGCUCGAAAGCGUGGGGAGCAAACAGGAUUAGAUACCCUGGUAGUCCACGCCGUAAACGAUGAGUGCUAGAUGUAGGGAGCUAUAAGUUCUCUGUAUCGCAGCUAACGCAAUAAGCACUCCGCCUGGGGAGUACGACCGCAAGGUUGAAACUCAAAGGAAUUGACGGGGGCCCGCACAAGCGGUGGAGCAUGUGGUUUAAUACGAAGCAACGCGAAGAACCUUACCAGGUCUUGACAUACUCGUGCUAUUCCUAGAGAUAGGAAGUUCCUUCGGGACACGGGAUACAGGUGGUGCAUGGUUGUCGUCAGCUCGUGUCGUGAGAUGUUGGGUUAAGUCCCGCAACGAGCGCAACCCCUAUUGUUAGUUGCCAUCAUUAAGUUGGGCACUCUAACGAGACUGCCGGUGAUAAACCGGAGGAAGGUGGGGAUGACGUCAAAUCAUCAUGCCCCUUAUGACCUGGGCUACACACGUGCUACAAUGGAUGGUACAACGAGUCGCGAGACAGUGAUGUUUAGCUAAUCUCUUAAAACCAUUCUCAGUUCGGAUUGUAGGCUGCAACUCGCCUACAUGAAGUCGGAAUCGCUAGUAAUCGCGGAUCAGCACGCCGCGGUGAAUACGUUCCCGGGCCUUGUACACACCGCCCGUCACACCACGGGAGUUGGGAGUACCCGAAGUAGGUUGCCUAACCGCAAGGAGGGCGCUUCCUAAGGUAAGACCGAUGACUGGGGUGAAGUCGUAACAAGGUAGCCGUA
rnacentral:rRNA from 1 species